GAAACCCCCGUGAUCCAGCAAGUUCGAAGCCUCCUACUAGUGGCAAGGCAUCCCAGAUCGUUCUGGUAUAGACUUUGGACUGAGAACUGCAGUGGAGAUGUGUGCUAACGGCCCUUCUGGCACUUCACAGACGGCUGCAGGAACCCUCCUUGUCAGAGGCUCCCUCCAGGCUAUCAUUUCAUUAUUUAUUCAGCAUUUUCAUAACUGAUCCCUGAGCCCAACUGUGAAAGUACCAAGGAGAAAACUUUGCGUAACGAUCGUGAAUCUCCUUGGAUUUGUUUCCAUCACUUCUGGGGGAACAACAAUUACGUCGUGUCUUGCUGCUCUCCCUCUGAGUGCCUCAGCCUUCCAGUUGGUUUAGGGGGACCAUGAUUCUCCGGGACUGUCGCUUCCUGGUUGCUAAUCAGCCUGGGAUGUUUCCACCUCGGGCAACGCGUCCCAGUUAAGAAUUCACUCAUCUACGUGUUUGUUCGUUCGCCACAUCUCUGUCAAGCACCUUCUAUGGGCUGGGUCCUGUGCGGUGAUGUUUGCCCUGGGUUUUGAAGAGUAAAUAGGAACCAUGCUGAAAAGGGAACGUCAACCUCAGGGCAGUCCUCAAUCUUGCCAGCUGCUAGAAUCACUGGGGGAGCCCAGGCUGUAUUCUGGACCAUUAAAUAAGAACCUCUGGGGUAAGACCCAGGCAUCUGCAUUUUUUAAAAAAAGAUUUUUAUUUAUUGAGGUGUCUGGGUGGCUCCAUUGGUUCAGCCUCUGCCUUUGGCUCAGGUCAUGAUCUCUGGGUCCAGGGAUCAAGCCCUAUAUCAGGCUCCCUGCUCAGUGGGGAGGCUGCUUCUCCUUCUCUCUCUAGUAUUCCCCCUGCUUGUUCUUUCCCUCUCUCUGUCAAAUAAUAAAUUUGUUUGUCAAAUAAUAAAUCUGUUUUUAGGGACUGGAUGCCUCUGCCUGGCUGAGUAUAGUGCUGACUACCCCUCCUCUCUCUCUCAACAGGUUCUGAGUAGGGCCUGAGCCCCUGCCCCAUAAGGCUUAGGGAUGGGAAUGAGGGUGUAGAAGUGUCCUGCUCUUUUCUGUUUUCACUGAACAGCUUGUUCUACGGGGGGAGGAAGGGGAAGAGAACUAG